rnacentral:lncRNA from 1 species
AAACAAACAAACAAACAAACAAACAAACAAACAAACAAACAAACAAACAAACAAACAAACAAACAAACAAACAAACAAACAAACAAACAAACAAAAAACAAACAAAUAAAAUCCAUUUGCGCAGGUUAUUAUUAACAAAGUGAUUGAAGAAAUAAAGUAUUACGAGGAGGAAAAAGAAAAUUCGGAACACGUCAAAAAAAAUAACAAGGAACAGUAUUUAGAUUUAUUUGGGGUCAUUCGUUCAAGUAAACGUGUAGACAAUGAAGUUAAAAUUGAAAAUGAAGGUUUUUUUUGUAUAUCUGAUUAUUCCUUAUUUAAAGAUACUGUAAAUGUUUUGUGGAAAACUUUAAACAAAAUUUGUUAUACCUUAAUACUUUUUACGCAUGAAAAUAUUCUCCUGGCUAACCAUUUCUUAACCAUAUUCAUAAAUGCAUUGAAAGAGCACCAGGAUAAAAAAAAAAAGAUAACCAAACAAAAUAUGAACACAUUUAAUCCGGACACAAUUUUGGCAACACUUUAUUUCUUUUUACCAAAAGGACAUCUGAUGCUUAUAAGUCAUAGUUACGCAAAAUUUCUAAAUAACGAAGUUGUGAAUUUUAUAGAAAAUAAAUCACAAUUAAAAAAUAAUAACCACAAACAUAUAUAAAAUAGGACAAAAACACAGUUCCGUUUAAAAAAUUGUAAGGCUAUUUAUGAAAAGAUCAAUAUAGGUUGUAACAAAAAUAAAAAGAAUUUAGUUGUAUUUGUUUUUACCUUA